rnacentral:rRNA from 1 species
UACGGAGGGAGCUAGCGUUGUUCGGAAUUACUGGGCGUAAAGCGCACGUAGGCGGCUUUGUAAGUUAGAGGUGAAAGCCCGGAGCUCAACUCCGGAAUUGCCUUUAAGACUGCAUCGCUUGAAUCCGGGAGAGGUGAGUGGAAUUCCGAGUGUAGAGGUGAAAUUCGUAGUUAUUCGGAAGAACACCAGUGGCGAAGGCGGCUCACUGGACCGGUAUUGACGCUGAGGUGCGAAAGCGUGGGGAGCAAACAGG